GGCACGGUUAGUGAGCGUGGUGGGGGUGGGCUGGCGUUGGGCUGGGUGAUCUUGGUGGGCUUUGCAACUGCAGCGGUUCGAUGAAAGCCCUGCGCGGCAGUGUGGGCGCGAGCGGAAGGUACCGCUAGGUGGCGGUGUAACAACACAGCCCGGCUCUCCGCGGGCACGAGGCGGGACAGCCGGGUGGGACGGGCAGGGGGCGGCCGGGCGACAUCUGCUUCUGCUUUGGUGCAUAGACUAGCAGGGGAUUGCCAAGCUUCCAGCAAAACGUGUGCUGAUUGGGGAUUUUAAAGAUAUAGUGCAGGAAAGCAUACAACGUUCAGAAAGUCAAGUCAGUAGAAAAUGGAACAUAAAGGUGAACAAGUUCUGGGAGUGGAACUCUGUGCCUCCUGUAUAGCAAAAGAGUAGAACAAACAGAAACGAGACGUAAUCUGGCCACUUGAGAGAUUCAGGCAGUGCAGGCACCGAGAAACGUGGAUCUGUGAGAUAACCUCAGCUCCGCUCUGUGUUGAGGGCUGUAAGGUGAGGGCCAGUCUGAGCUUCUUACUGACUGAUUCCCCAUGGAAACAAAAUUGCAGCAAAGCAGCAUGUUGUGAAAAUGCUAAUUCCAGUAAAACAUGCAACAAAACCCAAGAAGUUUAUUUAUUUAUUUAUUUUGCCUGCAGCACGCUGUCUGUGUGAUGGCUGAUGGGGAGCGGGCAGUCGUUGUGCAGGGUCAGCAGGGUGACCUCCUGCUGUAGUACUGUAUCCCUGAUUUAAAAGAUGUCUCAUUUGGAGGAGUUCUGGUUGGCUGUGUGGGAGCUCAGCACUUGGAGGCAUCUGAUAAAACUGGGAUAAAAUCCAGUUGUCUGCUGUUCUAGGCAGCCCGGUCUUAUUAUCCCUUAAAUGGAUUUAUCAAGCUUUGUCUUAAAACCGAUUAGGCUUCUUUUGCAGCCACUCUUUCUGCCUGAAAGUCUGUUCCAGAACGUUACUUUAUUGAUGCGUAGAAAUAAUCAUUAAAUUCAUUCUAAAUUUGUAUGUGGCUGGUUCGCAGCCAUAUGUCCUUGUGCCAACAUUGCCCCUUUGCUUAAACCCCUCUUUCCAGGAUGUUCAUAGGAAGUGAUCAUGUGCUUUCUCAGACUUUGCUAGACCAAACAAUCUCCAUUUGCUGUCUUAGUCUCUUCUUAUAAGGCACUCUCAGAUUCCUGACAUCCUUCUCCGCAUCCAUUCCAGCAGGAAUUCGUCUUUUCCUGAGUAUGGGUGGCCGGGAUGCUCUUCUCUGUUCUGGAAAAGCCUUAUCCAGGCAAUGCCUCACAUAGUGGCAUUCACACAGAGGGCUUUUCUGCGAGAUUGCUGCAGUGCUUGCAAGCUUUUGGCAAGUACUGCCAUCAUCCAUCAUCCCAGAUGGGCCAGGCUUAGCUGAGUGCCCUGUGUCAUUACAUCCGUUCUGCUGAGGAGGCAAGCUGGGGGAAAAAUUAGAAGAGCUGGGAUAAAGGGGGGAAAUUCAGCUGCAGGCUGAAUUUAGCUGAAGGCAUCUUCCUCUUUAGACAGGCCACGUCAGACAGUUCUUAAAACAGUGUGAGUAUAGACUCUGUAAUUUCUAGAUUGGUCAUGCCAUAAUAAGAGGGCACGUUUUCUUUUAUCAAAUGUUUCCAUUUCCCUGUCCUAUAAAUACAGUCACAAAAUACUAGGUGCAGCCAGUGCUGUAUUUCUGAUAGGACCUGGAGUUCUUCCAGUUUGGCCAGAUAAUGUCUGAUCUCAGUGCUUUCCCAGGUAAUUUCAAGGUACGUGGGUUGGGUAAGCAGUAACAAAUAUAGCAAAGCAUCUGAGAUUCCCGCUGCCAAGUGCUAAACAAAACUUUUAUUCUGGAAUCUUUUUAAAUUGGGACAUUUUUGUCUGCUAGUUUAUUUAAAGAAAGAAAGCCAGCUGUGAAUUAUAACCCAGCUUGCUCUGCCCAGAGAGUUUCCUGGAGCUGGAACAGUGUUUUUCUGUACCUGCUGGAUUUUGAGUUUGUGCCAAAUGGAAAGGGAAUGGAUCUCUAGCUCGUGGCCAACAUUUGGAGGGACACCAUAGGUUCCUGUAGGGAUGCUCCAAGGGAUAUAUAUAACUACUGCAUGUUUGAGAUUAAUUCUGGCUUUGUCCGUUGCAAUUAAUAUCCACUGGUUAUGCUGGAGUCAUUUCUCACUCGCACCAUCAGAAUAUGUGGAUGUAGGAAAGACUCCAAAUAGAGUUUGGAUGGAGGCAAAAAAACAAACUGUGUUUGGUUCACAUCAGUGCUUUUUCAAGUUACCAUUGCUAAGCCUGAAGUAACAAUAAGCAAAAGGCGGUAUCUACAGAAAUCCUGGUCCUUGACUGCACUUCCUGUUCCAUUAAUGUACCACGUUCCAGUUUUGCUGCAUUCUUUAUUUUUGUAUUGCUACUGUAUAGGAUAAAACUUAAGCAGAUAAAACUGUCCAGUUGUUAAAGCUCGUGACAACUAAGUAGGGCAGUGUGAAUAUUUCUGAUGAGCACUGAGCCAGUCAGUCUGUACUGUUGCCUUGUUCUGCUGAAUGAGCACAGCUCUGCAUGUGCCAGCCUGCACUGCCUACAGGGCCAGAUGCACCACGUGCAGGUAUGUGGUUGCAUCUUCCUCUGACAUGGUUUGCAGAAAGCAUAUUAAAGGAGGGGCUGCACAAAACAGCUAAUGGACUCCAAGAAACCUUGUCAGUCUGCGAAAAUCACACGGUUCUUUUUGCCUUUCUCCUUUUUUAUUUUGCUCAGGAGGGGAUUUACUGAGUACAAGGCACAUAAAUAGCCAGUAAUCCAGAAAAAUUCUGCUGCCGAUCCCACCGUUUUGUUUCGAGAUUAGCUGUUCUUUUUGAGAUUUCCUCUGCACUUUCUUCCUCUGAAGUCCUUUUCCUUUUGUCUGCCUCUAACCCUUCCACUUCUGAUCACUCAGAUAACUAGACUGCAAACAAACCCAUGUUUUAGAAGGUCCCUGAAUAACACAAAUAGAUAAAUCUAUGCAGGCAGGACAGAUUGCAGUCAUAAACACGAUUUCCAGCCCUGUUCAGUUCCAGGCCAACAGAUGCUUUAACCUAGAGUACAACACAUAAGCGCUAUCCUUAGUAAAACUUCCUUUCUGUUCUACUGGCUUUAUGCCAUCAAAUUUUAUGUUUCUCAACUGAUUGAAUUCUGCUGAACCAUCAGCACUGAUGGAGUUUUUUGUUUUAUCCAGUCCAAGAGUGCACUUGGGCCGUUCUCUUGUUCUUGGUUCCUUUUUCUUGCUCUUGUCCAUUAAGUGAUGGAAGAGUCCCAAGUCCUUCAGGCUCUUAAGGGGGAUCAAAGAUUAAAUUGAGCAUCGUUUUCAAACUGCGGGUUUUACCUGAAAAUAUCUUUCAAAGUGAAGGUGUCGUAAGGAUUUGCUCUUUAUUUUUUACUUUCAGAAUUGGUGAAAAAUAUCAGACAGUGUCAGUUAGGCUGACAGUCGCUGUGCUUUCCCAACAGGAGAUCAUGAAACAGUGGCAGGUGUUUAUAAAACCUCUCCUGCAAGCUCAUUAUGUUGUAUGCAAUUAUUAGCUCUCUUGGGGAUGCAUAUCCAGGCAGUCUGAGUGACUCAUGUUGAUUUCAGGGGGAGCUCCAUGCAGGGGACUGGGUCCUUUUGUAGAAGAGCGGGAAAGAAAAGCACAGUUGUUUUUAGGAAGGCAACUUGAAUCUGCAGUUAAAGUUGACUAUUUAUGUAACCCAUUGAAUUCUGCUCGUCCCGGUGUUAUUUCAGGUAUUUUUUCCUCCCACCUCUCCCAGGGUGUUUAAUUUCCUCAAGCGUUGCAGCUCUCAUUUUGCCUCGAGGUUUAUUGUCCCCACUAAUGGAAGUGUCACCCAGAAGUAUGGAAACAGAACUGGUUCAUCUGGCUGGGAGAUAAGCUUUUUUUUCUCCUAGCAUCACUCCAGUUCAGCGAAUCGGCUCCAUUUUUUUCUCCAUCUUACCUGCUCCCUAUUACUGUCUCUGCUAUAGAUUCAGCAGAUCAAGUCCUUGCGUAUUGGUGCAAGAGAACCUUUGCUGUCUUGCUUACAGCAGUUCAUGAGCCUGAUGUUUUGGGCACUGUAUAAGCUACAGAUGAGUCAGAGUCAAAGAUUCACGGGACUCUUUCCAGUAGCUUCAAUGGGCUUUGACUCGAGCCUUCAGAACACUUGACUGGAACAGAUGGUGUGUCCACAGGCAGGCAGGUAGCCUGACAGUCAUAAUUCAUGAUGGUAUAAUGCCACUGACACUGAUUUACGCCAGUUGUUAGUGAAAAAAUACUUCCCACAUGUGCAGAGCCUGUUUCAGUGUCUUUGAACUCUGUUGUUCUGCUCCUGACAGUGGGGCUGGAGGUGAAGCUGAAGCAAUAGAUAGGUGUGAGGUAAUCCAUUCCUAUAAUGAUCUUCUCCUGAACUCCAAAAACUGGGUUUAGUUUAAUCGCUAUAGCAUGGUUUAAUCCCCAAAACGCUUUUCACCUUUUAGUAUUAAAACAUUCAACUUGGAGGAGGUGAUCUUCUCAUUUCAUGUUUGUCCUUAAGUUUUUUCCCAACGUGGUGAGUGAGAAUCCCCUGUUCAUUUGUCAGUGGGAACCACCAAACACUCAGGAAGAGAAACAAAGAACUUCCUUAUUCCUACAUCUGGCAAAGAUCAGAAGGCUUUCUGUUCUGUCUCUUAAACUGUGGUGUUGCAGGUCAUUUACUGAGCAUGUAGUUUUCAGUGAGAAUGAAACUGGGGGCUUUUCUGAGGAAUGUUUAAAAAAAAAACAAACAACAACAACCAGGGAGCAGCAGAGGGCUUGUAUCUAGGUGGUCUUUGAUGAACUAGAUGAUCAUUGUCCCUCACAACCCAAGCCAUUCUGUGAUUCUGUAUUUCCAUGAUUCUAUGACUUUCAGUCCAAAAAAUACAAGCAGCUGUUGGUGUGAAGGUGUAGAAUACUUCAGUAAAAAUGUAAACCUCUGUUUCUAAAACAAAGUGGAGGUAUCAAACUGCUGCCCAUAGUACCAAAAAGCAGCUUCUAGUUUAAGAAAGUGUUCGUUGUGUCAGUGACUUUCACGUGGUUUCAUCUUUUCUUAUAACAACCACCUGCAUGAGGAACUCUCACUGCUUACUCUUCAUCAGGCUCAUGCCUUAGUUUUUGUCCUGCAGCAAGACUGGGGAGAGUCCAUCUCUUCUAGAGUGCAAGCAAUUUCCAAAUCAACAAAGCACCCCGACUCUUGAGCUUCCCCCUAUGAUUGGGUUGGUCGGCCACUGCCAGAAGCUUCCUCCCCUCUGUUGACAACUGGCUUUGCUGCAGCUCUCCAAGCAGCUCGAAACAUGGACUGCUCCUGGUGCAGCCCACACGCUUACUGAUGAUGAAGGAAAAGGGAUCAACAAGCAAGUAAUUGUUCUUGUUUGCUACCCAGGCUCCCUGCCCAGAGCCCUUGCUCAAGUCAGAGAACUACUUCCUCUCCUUCCAGCCCACUUGGCUCUCUUAGUACCACACCUCAGAGGGAUUUCUGUUUCAGAGUUUCCAGUGGGCAAUCCUGAUCUUUUCAUUUCAGUUUUGCCCUUAAGAUUUAUUUUCUCAGUGUGGUGAGUGGAUAUCCCCUGUACCAGGGCUGCUCAUGUAUUUUCCUUUAACUUUGCUUAGGGUAGGGAUGUGAAAUCUGCCUGCACAUGUCUGCUUGGUUCUAUGAGAUUAAAUGUGAAAUGUAUGCAUGAAAUGAGCAGUCAGCUGCACACUCAACAUGACUCAUGGUCUCUAUGUAGCUACUCAGGAGAGCAUUCUUGUAUAUUAAUUUCAGUGCAAAAUACCUGGUGGGACUCCAGAAGCAGUUCAAGUUUCUAAUGAAAAUUCAUUUUUUCAGUAUAUGCAACUGUUCAUCUUAUCACCUUUCAGUGCUUUUAAAGGCAUUUGUAAUUCUCUAGUAAGCUGUGAGCAGUGAUGAAGAAAGUCCAGAUUUAAGUCACUACAUGGAGAAUUCUUCAGAGGUUCUGAUGUACUUCUAAUAUUAAAAGAAAUCUGAUAGAAUUUACUCUGUACUACCCCAAAUAUUAAUAGAUUGCUUAUCAGGUUUAGGGAAGAACAGUUAAUUCUUUUUUAUUGGCUUUAGGAUUAUUUUUACUAACUAAAACUACUCAGGGUAUGAGUUUGCAACACAAAUCGUGUAAUUUUAUAUUUCUUUUUCUUAGGGAAAAUGAGACACAUUAUUUUGAACACGUCUGCCUGCAAAUAUGUUGUUGGAUAUAUUAUAUAUGUGAUGAUAAUAUACUGAAUUGUAUCAGGUUUCUUCCCCUUAUCUAUAUAUGUCCUUACAAAUAUGUCUCUAUCUUAUGGAAGAGUGUAUGGGGACCAUUAGGUCAUGGCCUGAACCAGUGAUGGAGCACCUGGUGAAGGGAUGUAGCCAGCCGUGGGAGCACAGGUGGAAGCAAUUCACAUGUGUGAGGGAAGGUGGGACUCUGCGUCCACCUCUCCCUAACCUCAUUGAAGGACUGGCAGCCAUAAGGGAAGCAUCUCUACUUAGAGAUUGCCUUCUUUAGAAUGUUUGGUGAGCCCUGAUCUUUGGAAAGGGGUAAGUGAUUCCUUCUUUAUUACUGGAUUGUGACCUCUGUCUUUCUUUGGUGAUCCAAACCUCAUUUAAAGCAGCCGUAUCAGCUAUUGCCUAUCCUUACAGAGAGCUUCUUUCUUUAGCAGUGCUGUGUUUUGCCAGUUGCUGCAGUUUUAGAAUUUCUCAUGCGGUAUUUCAAAUCUGUUUACUACUUCUUAACUAAAAAAAAUUAUACUUCCUAUGAUAUCCAUCUAUAAUCUCAAUGUAAAAAGUGCUCUGCAUGCAAGUCUCCUUGCAGAUACUCGGAAAAUAUCAGUGGCGAUGUACACAGUUACAGGGCAGAAAAAGAGAGAAAGAUAAGAGUUGUGCUUCAUGAACUUGCAGCUCUUCAUUUCUAAAAAGGUCAUGGGGAGUUUCUUCAGAAACACAUUUUUAUCUCAUAGCACUGUUUGCUUACAAUGGGUGGUAGAGGUUGACUAUGUAUAUGUUUGCUGUUGCUACUUGAGAGUGUGAAGCUGUUUCUUUUGCUUCCUGUUGCUACACAAAACAGGCUGGCUCCUUGAUACCUCAUCUCUGCAUUCCCUUUAUAGAGAUGAAGGGGUAAAAAGAGGAGACAUUGUCCACUCUCUUGUUGCUCAAUGACAGUGGUUAAUGUGGAGAUGUGCACACUGCAGACAUAUUAUGGCCAGAAGAAAACUGGAAAAUUGAGCUGUUGGAGGCUGUCACUUACCAGCAGCCCAGAACCUUGACAGCCUUUGUGGGGACCUCCACUGCAGAAGGCACUGCACAGCUCAUUCUUUCUCUUGUAGCCUUUUUGCUCUGUUUGUGGAAGAGGGAUUCUGUAUCCAGCUUCAGAAAAGGUAGUUGGGCCAAGCUAUGUAUGGAAAAACAAACAAACAAACAAAAAAAAACCACACACACAAAAAAACCCUUUUUCUUUGCACAAAAAUACUUAUUUUUAUCUGACACCUCUAUAACAAUUACAGUAUGUGAAGCUCGACCUACCAAUACCUUCAGUGGACAAAGGGAUGCAGAGACAAAGCACUAUCUCACAUGGUUCUGUACCUCUCCAUUUAAGCACCCUAUCUACAACCUGACCAAUAACAGCCUGUCUAGCCCUUGUGACCUGUUCAGACCCAGUUUGUAUCCACCUUCACCCAAUGGUCCAACUAAUUCUCAUCACAGGUGUAACAUAUAACACACAUGAAAGCUGUGCCUUCUGAAUUUUGGAAGACUUUGCUCCUUUUUUUACAGCAUUUAUGCUUUCUUUUUCUCUCUGUAUUGUAAUGUAUGGCAGUGAGGUUGGAGAAGUUUUUCUUGUUCUUUGCUCCCACCAGUGCUCCUGUGUGCUUUCACCAAAAUGUGAAAACACAGAUUUUUUAAUGGCUUGAUAUUUAUCUGGUUGAGAAGAGACAGAAUGCAACUCUUAGGAGCAAGUGGUAGUUUUCAUGUAUACUGAGGCAGUCUGCAUGAUGUUUUAAAGUGCUGUUCACAUGCGAGUCAUGCACAGAAGUCAUUCAUUUUAAAGGUUGCAUUCUCCUAAUGCGUGACAGGUUAUAUACAGUGCCGUGCAGUCUUGUAUAUCACAAGACUUUCCUCUUUUGCAGCAAUGUGUAUAGCAUUUUAGCUUCAGUACACAACCCUCAUCACAAAAUGAGCUUCCCUACACUGCGUUCUGGCUGUGUCUGCCCUGGUACGAAGACCAUUACUGGCACAUCUGUACCUUUGAUCCUCUCUGGUCCCUCUGGAGUGUGCUCCCUCUGUCUUGUGUGAAACCCCAUGAUCAACUGUCUUGUGUCUCUAAGGUUUGACACUCACAAAAACAUGGCUUGUCAGAAGCUCUGGGUGGUUCAGCAUAUAAGGCUUUCCACCUGGGGCUGAUAGCAGAAGGCAAACAGAAUGACUCACAGUUCACCAACCUCUGUUUUCUGCAGAAUUGAAAUCAAGUAAAAUACAGUGAGUGGCUUCCUGUUUAGCUGCUACUCAGAGAGGAAGAAUUGUGUCCAUUGCUUUUGCAGGGCUUAAAGGAGCAAUUUACAGUUGAAAGUCUUCAUGUCUAAUCUGCAGCCUAUCUGAAGUCUUGAUUAAAUCUUGUGCUCACACUCUUCAACUUGUUUUCUGUUUUUUCCUUACACUAUAAUAGCAUAGCAGUCUCCGGGAGAGAACCUUUACAGUCGCGCAGCUCUGGAGGAGGUGCUUUACUUAUUGCUUCAGUCAUUGGAAACUGCAAUUGGUUUUAUGGACCAAAAUGCUAGAAGAAUGACUUUAUUUUUAGAAAAAAAGAACGUAUGAUUUGUCCGAGCAAGGAAAAGAAAUUCAAAGAUCUCAUUGUGCCUAACUUUGUUUCUCAUUCAGUCUGCAUUUUUUAGUUUGGUUUAAUUUUGUUUCUGCUUGAAUGUUUUUUGAUUCAUUCACAGGUGUUUAUUAUGUGGUGUAUCUUAAGGUCUGUAUUAAAGUUUUUCUAUCAGAUAGGCAGAAAGGUGUUCACACAACAAGCAUCCAGUGCUGCUUCUUGCCUUGGCGCAGGACAUGUCAUGAGGACUGGGGAGGCUCUUUGAGGUCCCAGGUAUCUGUUAAUCUGCUCCUAUGACUAACAGAGUAAAACCUGGAGAGAGGGCUCCAGGUAUCUUAAGAUGAUAUGCAGCCACAUCUCGCUUCCCAUAUUUUACUCUUUCUUUUCAAAACUUCUUUGAUUCACAGUAUCUUGGGCUGUGGAGAAAAAAGACUGACUAUUGCUUCAGUUUUGCUGUGUUCCUGCUGAGUCUGAGGCGCUAUGCUUAGAGGCAACUUUGAUAUCGUUAGAAUUCCUUCUGCCUGGAAUCAGCUGAGGUCAGGAGGUCUUGUGUGACUGAACAGAUUGUUCUUGUCUGUGACGUGAUGUCCUGGAUCCGCCACGCACCAUUUCCAGAGCCAGCUUCAGCAAGGGAACGGGUCUGAGUCGGAUCACGAUCUUGAAUGCUGCAAAUGCCUCUGGGACCAUUCUCUCUCCUACAGAGAUCUCCUUUCUGGGACUUUAGGGCUUUCGUUUUUCACGCUUUGAUCUGUGACUCUGAGGAUAUGAGUAAUUCUUAAAAGGGAAGUGAAGUUUCUUCAUUGACCACAUGAAUGCAAGAGCUGGGCUUUUAUGAAAGAUAAUUCAAUAUUCUGGAAUUACUGAUGAACCCACCUGAACUGACUUAACCGAGAGGACAGCUUUACAGCAUGCAAGGCACCAGAAUGGAUGAAGCAAAGGGAAGCUGAAUGAUUCCAAGCUCUGCAGUCACACUGCAACAUUCACAUAGUGCACUCAGAGUUCAUCUUAAUUGUUCCUUUUUCUCACAGACACUAAGCAAAUGCUUUCCUAAAUGCAC
ensembl:lncRNA